rnacentral:rRNA from 1 species
AUGGUGGCGAGGAUGAUGCGGUGGCCGCGGCCGCCCCAGGCGCGCAAGUUCCGCGUCCGGCUGGUGGUGCGGCGGGCGGAGGGGCUGCCGCCGUCCGUGGAGCCCGCGGGACAGGAGCAGAGGGUCGCGGCGGAGGUCAGGUGGAAGGGGCCGAGGGCGUCCGGCCUCGGCUCGCUGCGGCGCGCGGUGCGGCGCAACCGCACCAGGGGCGAGGAGCUGGCCGCCUCCGGGGCCGUGGCGUGGGAGGAGGGGUUCGAGAGCGCCGUCACGCUCGCGGCCGCGUCUCACCGGGAGGCGGCCGCGUUCCAGCCGUGGGAGCUCGCCUUCACCGUCUUCACCGAUGUGAACAAAGGCCCAAAGACUAAACCAACAAUUCUGGGAACCGCUUCCCUUAGCCUAGCAGAUUAUGCAUCAGCAGCCGAAGAGGAUAUUGAGAUAAUUCUCCCUUUGUCCGUGCCCUCUGGUGCGCCUGAGUCUGCUCCGUCCCUUCAUCUCACUCUGAGUAUGGUGGAACUGAGAGCUCAUCAAGAAACCUCUGACGCUUCACAACGGUCUGCUGUGGCCGCUCCGUUAUCCCCGUCAUCUUGUGAUUCUGUCCCUGGAGGAAAAGAUGAGGUUUCAGUCAUUAAAGCAGGGCUAAGAAAGGUAAAAAUCCUCAGGCAUAUAGUGUCAGCUCGACGGUCCAAGAAGACGUUCCAAAGCGAUGAAGGCAGUGAAGAUAAUUGCUAUAUUCACAGUGAUGGUACUGAAUAUCCAUAUGGUACCGAGCCUGUGGAUGAAGAUCUUGAUGAUAGAACACAUGAAGAUGAAGUUGCGGAUUCAACUAUCAGGAAAUCGUUCAGUUAUGGUUCACUGCAGUCUGUCAACCAUGUUGGUGACCAUGAGGACUGGGUCUAUUACAGUCACCGGAAAUCUGAUGCCGGUUACCAUGUAGAUGAACCACAGUCAUCAACUGCUGUGGGAACUGUGUUGCCAGCUGUAAAACGGAGUAUCCUUCCUUGGAGAAAGAGGAAACUGGGUUUACGGUCACUAAAGGCUAAAGGUGAACCUCUGUUGAAGAGAGCAAAUGGAGAAGAGGGAGGUGAUGAUAUUGACCAUGAUCGACGGCUGCUAACCUCUUCCGAUGGAUCACAGCGAUCAAGAAGUGAAGAUGGGUCAGUUCAUGGUAUGAUGUCAGAAUUUGGCGAUGACAAUUUUGUUGUGGGGAACUGGGAAUCAAAGGAGGUACUUAGCCGUGAUGGUCAUAUGAGGCUUUCUUCCCAGGUGUUCUUUGCGUCAAUAGACCAGAGAAGUGAGCGGGUUGCUGGGGCGAGUGCAUGCACGUCACUUGUGGCUGUCAUUGCAGACUGGUUCCAGGCAAAUCAGAAUCUGAUGCCUAUCCAGUCGCAGUUUGAUAACCUGAUCCGAGAAGGAUCACUAGAGUGGAGAAACCUUUGCGAGAACAAGACAUACCGAGAGCGUUUUCCUGACAAGCACUUUGAUCUUGAAACUGUCCUUGAUGCCAAGACCCGGCCACUCACAGUCUCCCCCAGCAAGUCAUUUAUCGGAUUCUUCGUACCCGAAGGAGCUGAUGACAUGGGAGGACUUGACUUCCUCAAUGAUGCCAUGUCCUUUGAUAACAUCUGGGAUGAGAUCAGCCAGGCAGCAGAGGCCUCAUCCAGUGACAACCCUAACCUAUAUAUAGUGAGCUGGAAUGACCACUUCUUUCUCCUCAAGGUUGAGCGUGAUGCAUAUUACAUCAUCGACACGCUUGGAGAAAGGUUCUACGAAGGAUGCAGCCAGGCCUACAUUUUGAAAUUUGACGACACCACCAUGAUUCACAAGGUGUCCGGCGAGAAGAAGGCGCAACCUAGCCCCGACUCAAGCGGGCCGCUGAAGGGUUCUUCAGCGAGCUCCUCGUCGGGGCAGGACAGCGAAGACGACGACGCCGAGGAGAACGUACUCGUGUCGAAGGGCAAGGAGUCGUGCAAAGAGUACAUCAAGAGCUUCUUGGCGGCCAUACCGAUCAGGGAGCUACAGGGGGACAUCAAGAGGGGAACGGUGGCAUCAACACCGCUGCACCACCGCCUCCAGAUCGAGUUCCACUACACCGAGGCGGUCCCGGCAGAGGUUGCCCCGCCGCCUCAAGCCCUCGCCAUCGAAGCCCCGUUCGAGUUCUCGUGGCCCGAGCCACCGCCGGCGAUGGAGCUCGCCCUAGCACCCGCGGUCGCCGUCGCAUAG